rnacentral:rRNA from 1 species
UACAGAGGGUGCGAGCGUUGUCCGGAAUCACUGGGCGUAAAGGGCGCGUAGGCGGCUUGGCAAGUCGAGUGUGAAAUCCCUUGGCUUAACUAAGGAAUGGCGCUCGAAACUACCUCGCUAGAGGGCGGGAGAGGGAAGUGGAACUCUCGGUGUAGGGGUGAAAUCUGUAGAUAUCGAGAGGAACACCGGUGGCGAAGGCGGCUUCCUGGCCCGUACCUGACGCUGAGGCGCGAAAGCGUGGGUAGCAAACAGG